UGCAAGUCGAGCGGUAGCACAGAGGAGCUUGCUCCUGGGUGACGAGCGGCGGACGGGUGAGUAAUGUCUGGGAAACUGCCUGAUGGAGGGGGAUAACUACUGGAAACGGUAGCUAAUACCGCAUAACCUCGCAAGAGCAAAGAGGGGGACCUUCGGGCCUCUCGCCAUCAGAUGUGCCCAGAUGGGAUUAGCUGGUAGGUGGGGUAACGGCUCACCUAGGCGACGAUCCCUAGCUGGUCUGAGAGGAUGACCAGCCACACUGGAACUGAGACACGGUCCAGACUCCUACGGGAGGCAGCAGUGGGGAAUAUUGCACAAUGGGCGCAAGCCUGAUGCAGCCAUGCCGCGUGUGUGAACAAGGCCUUCGGGUUGUAAAGCACUUUCAGCGGGGAGGAAGGCGGUGAGGUUAAUAACCUCAUCGAUUGACGUUACCCGAAGGAACAAGCACCGGUUAACUCCGUGCCAUCAGACCUCGGUAAUACGGAGGGUGCAAGCGUUAAUCGCAAUGACUGGGCGUAAAGCGCACGCAGGCGGUCUGUUAAGUUGGAUGUGAAAUCCCCGGGCUUAACCUGGGAACUGCCUUCAAAACUGACAGGCUAGAUUCUUGUAGAGAGGGGUACAAUUCCAGGUGUACCGCUGAAAUGCGUAGAGAUCUGGAGUGAUACUGGUGGC
rnacentral:rRNA from 1 species